CGCCCCCUACCCCUUCCCCGCCGCACACCUCGCGCCGCCGCCUUCCCCGACGCCCCCUCCUCCCUCGCGACGCUGCCUCCCAGCGGCGCCCUCCGCCCCAACUCACGGCCCUUGCGACGCGCCGUCUCCCAUGGUUGCCGUCCCCGUCACCGUCGCCUCCGUGCCCCGAUGGCACUGCGACGGUUCUACGGCUUCCCCUCCAACAUCGUCGCGCUCCCUGGCUCGAGAUCCCCUUCCUUCCCGCCUCCCGGCUCCUACCCCGACUUCCAGCGCCUCCCCCCGACCCCCCUCGCGACGCGCCUCCCCCCGACGCCGCCUCCUCCCUCGCCCACGCUCGCCUCGCGCCCUCCCCUGCCUCCAUCCCCACGCCGCAGCCGCCGCUCCGUCCCCGGCCGCCUCUCCAUCACAGGCCGCCAAUCCUCGCCGUCCUGGCCGAUCUGCGCCAAGCCUCCUGCUCCUCCGAUCCGCCCGCAUGCUCCUCCGGCCCCGUGCGCCCCACCGCCGCGCUACUCCUCCUGCACCUCGCACCCUUGCUUCCCCCGCCACCGAGCCCCUGCUUGGGCCCUGACUGAAACCCGGCGACGGUCGGUGGAUCCAGCAGCAGUGUUGGUGGCGGCCCCCUUGGCGACGACGAAGGCCUGGUGGAGGUCGUCACAAAUGGCAGGGAUAGUGGCGCAGAUCCAGUGGACUCCCGCGAGUGGCGUGGGCGAGGCCAUGGCCUCCGCCACAGGCUCCGUCCAGCAGCAAUCCCCAAGCACAGCAACACCAGCAGAUGCUGAUCCGGGAGCUGGGGCCGACAAGCUCGUGUUCGAGGCGGCGCCGCAGCCCAUGAGGGAGGACUACGUCGAGAACGCCGUCAAGUUCCUCUCCCACCCCAAGGUCAGGGGCUCCCCCGUAGUCUACAGGGGGUGCUUCCUCGAGAAGAAGGGCCUCACUUUCCAGGAGAUCGACGAGGCAAGAAGGGGGAAAUCACGGCAGUUAGGUUAUACAAGCAAUGAUGGACAAACCAAUAUUAUAGCCUAGCAGUGAUUAUAGUCUGAUUCAGGGAUCCCGGCAAUGGUUAUCGCGCUCGAAGACGACGACUAUAAGCCAGGUGCUGCAGCAGGUAAUUUGUCUUCAAUUAUUGUCCCUUAUCACUCCCGUGAAUCCUCAUGCACAUAGGGCACACAUAAUUUCAUUAUAUAUGAAGUGAUUUGAAGUACGAUAAUUUCCAGUAUGAAGAAGUAACACUUCCAGAGAAACUUAUGAAUAUGGAGGUGGAACAGCCCAUGACUCUCAGAGGCUGAUGGUACCAAGUUCAGGCGAAUGGAUGAUCCGACGUGCGUGGCUGCGCGAGCAGAGGGGAAGAAGUUCGUUAGUGAGGAGUGGGUUCAGGACAGCUUGGAUCGUGGGGUGCUUGCUGAUGCUGAUAGGGUUAUCUAUUGGCCGGUGAGAGAUUCGAAGGCAAUACCGGGUGCGCAAUCACUGCUUAUUUUCUUGACGGGUUACCAAAGAAACUAUCGCGAAUACGUAACGGUGCAGCUAAAUCAAGUUUGUUACAUGAAUCAGUUAAAUCAAAUUCACAGGUACCAGCUAGCAUAGGUAUGUAAAAAUUGAUUAAACUGUACAUUUGGUAUUGGUUUAAAUUGUAUACUACGCCACAUUUGGAUAUGCAGUCGUGCCUGCUUCCAAGUUCCAAUGCCUUGUUAUUGUGGUCGACUCCACAAGCAGAUCAAGGUGUAGACUCUAAAAGUUUGGUAAAUUACUUGGUAAAAUUCCUUAAUAUUUUUCCCACUGCUCUUUUUGACAUUUUAAGAAAUUUUAAAAUCGAUUCCUUGGUGUUUUCUAUACUUUUCUGAAAGUGGACUAUUUAAGUUUCUUUGAAUUUGUUACAAAUAGAUUGUUGGAUUUCAUAUAGUCCUAUUUUUCUUUUUGAGGAUGGAGUUGUGUUGACAUGAAUAAAAAAUUGAUCUUUGCUCCACAAUAAGAUUCAGAGCUAUUUCUGACUGUAUGAUUGCUAUAUGUAGAUAUGUAUAAACUUCUUAUCUGCAAACUAUUAGUAUAGGUAGAACCAAUAUGUUUGCUAGAACAUAUAGUCAGGAUAGUGAAUAAAACAUUGAUAGAAACAUCGUGAAAGUAACUUUUGUCCAUUUUUUGUGCUCAUCUUAGAUGUCAAGCUUGUGUACAAGACUAUGAAGGAGAAGACGAGAGAGUGCAACAGACGGGAUCCCAAGUUCUACGGCAACAUGUUUGCGAAAUGGAGGAAGCUGGAGCACAUGGACACCAAGAAGGCAGAGCCCUGGUUGACUGCUAAGAUUGCUUCAAGCAUCAGAGAGAUCCUCUCGAGAGACAUACAUGCAGGUUGAUUCUUCUGCUCAUCCAUUCUUUGAUGCGAUGCGGGAUCCCAAGGUGUGCUUGCCGAGUGGACAGCCACUGCCACCGUUGUUUGACUUCUCAGCAGCUGGCCUACGCACAAGAAGCACAUCAAAUUGCUGCGCAUGGUGUUAGCCUAAGCUAUGUUCAGAGAAGCAUCUUGGGAAGCUCGGACCAUCACUGGGCGCUCAUGUACACCUCCGGAAGCUCCAUGACCUCCCGCAGCGGCACCAGCACCUCGCGGCGGAGGUGGAGCAGAUGGUAUUCGUAGUGCUCCUCCGUCAGGUCGGUGUAGUCGGGGCUGGAAUUGCACGGGAAGAGGCGGUGGGCAAUGGCCUCGCAGAGCAGCGUCGUCCUGCUGAAUAAUGAGCCCGGAGUUGGGCACCACUUGGUGGUGAGCCCGAUCUACCUCUUCUUGCUGCCGGGGGGUGAGCUGCUCGAUGUUGGAGUCGAGGUCGGUGAAGAACUGAGCGAUGCAGUCCAACAGGAAGCGGUAUGCACCAUCGCCGUAGUAGCGUCUCCAGAUAUUGCACUGCGAGCUUGGCUACCUUCCGCACCUCCUUCCUCAUGGGGAUCUCCUUUGUCAUUCCUAGAUGAGGACGAAAUUUUUAUAUUGGUAAUUCCAGCAUAAUCGAUUUGCAUUUUGAUGAUACUUGGAGAUAAUUGUAUAAGAUUUUGAAAGCUUAAGGAUUUAUGUUACCACCCCUCCUCUGUAUUCAUCUUGUAACGCACUACGAAGAUGAGAGAUGUAAACUAUUCAUCGAGCCGACAUCUAAAACCAUAUUAUCAUGGCAACUAAAUUCAUUGUUGACGAGUAAGAGUUUACCAAAUAUUAAUCA